rnacentral:lncRNA from 1 species
UUUCACUAACUUGUGUGCAGAAAGCAGUUCUGUAAUUGAAACCUAGGCAGAUAUUUUUUGCACGCGGCUAGAUUUUUGAAGGAAUCAUGGAUCUCGAGAAAUUAGUUGCCCUCGGUGAGAAGAUGGGUCUUUCCGGGGCUGAACUAUAGAAGAGGGUUAGCCAGAAGGAAAAAGAAGCUCGAGAA